rnacentral:rRNA from 1 species
CCUACGGGAGGCAGCAGUGGGGAAUAUUGCACAAUGGGGGAAACCCUGAUGCAGCAACGCCGCGUGAGUGAAGAAGGUUUUCGGAUUGUAAAGCUCUGUUAGCAGGGAAGAGGAAGGACGGUACCUGCAGAGGAAGCCACGGCUAACUACGUGCCAGCAGCCGCGGUAAUACGUAGGUGGCAAGCGUUGUUCGGAAUAACUGGGCGUAAAGGAUGCGUAGGCGGUUAAACAAGUUAUAUGUUAAAUAUAUAGGCUUAACCUGUAGAAAGCAUAUAAAACUGUUUAACUAGAGUGCCGGAGAGGUAAGUGCAAUUCCUAGUGUAGCUGUGACAUGCGUCGCUAUUAGGCAGAACCCCCGUGGCGCAGGCGACUUACUGGACUGUAACUGACGCUGAGGCAUGAGAGCAUGGCGAGCAAACAGGAUUCGAUACCCGGGUAGUC